GUUGCGUCCUACGUGGGUGUUGGAGAAAUGAAUAUAUUAUUUAAGUAAUUGGAGAAAAAAUAACAGCCUUGGCCUGAAUACUUACCUGGUGUUUAGUGGAGUAUGUACAAACCAGUUUAAUAUGCAAAUUAUCUUCAGAGAUACUUUGUUUCAUUGUAAAAGUAGAUUAUACAUCAUGGUUGCUGGUAGCAGAGGUGUUGAUUGACAAACCCAGAAAAGCUUUUGAAUAGUGGAUUUUAAUAAUAUUUGAACUAACAAAUUAUGAAAAUACUGUGUAUUAACAUUAAGACAGACUUUGUGUUGCUACUUGUUGUUGGUUGGUUUUAUAUUUUAUUUUAUUUUAUUUUAUUUUUUUGUCUGCAAAUGAAGAUGUCCUCCCUUGCAGUUAUUAUUUUUGAAGGUCUCUUAGUAUAAGAGACCAACAUUUCAGGUGGCCCUUGCCAGUUCUUUGAUAGGAGUGUAUUUCUGAUACUAUUUCUUCAACUUCUUAGUUUCAAUUUUUUUUAUUCUUUUUAAAAAUUUUAUUAUUUUUAUAUGCCUUGAUGCCUGCAUGUGUGUCUGUGUGAGGGUGUUGGGUUCUGGAGUUACAGACAGUUGAGAGCUGCCAUCUGGUUCCUGGGAAUUGAACCCAGGCCCUCUGGAACAGUAGUCAGUGCUCUUCACCUCUGAGCCAUCUCCCCAGACCUCCUAGUUACAACUUGCUAAGAAUUCCUUUAAGAUGCUUCCUUUUGUUUGGUUUGUCAGUAGUGUGUUUCUGAGGUUGGAGAGGUCAUGUCCACAGGAGCUCUGUGGUAAUGGAAAGGUGCUGGCAGCUCCUGCAGUCUAGGUAUUAGUGGGCUCCUCAAGUGACUGUGCACUUGGGGGCUGCCUCUUCUCCUGACUUCAGCAGUGACUAAGGAGGCAGCAGAGGUCAUAUGGUGGGCUUGAAUUCUACACCAUGCAUUUAUUUUAAUCAGUACGGGGUCAGGCACAGCUCCUGCUACUGAGGACUGCAGAUGGCAUGCGCUUUUACCUCAGCCUUUGUGUGGGGAACAGCUAGGAAUCAGACCUGUGUGAGCAUUGGUGUGCAGCCUCUUCUUGGGAAUGUCAUCUUAAAACAGACUAGCAGUGGAUCUGGGCUCUAGAUACCUUGCUAAUUGAUUCCGCCCCUUACCCCCCAGUUCUGCAGCAGAUUUGGGGACUACUGUAACCAUUUAAGGAGUGUACUGUGUCUCCUAUUUUUUCGGAGAGACUGGGGCAUAGUAGAAAUCUGUUUUGUUGAUAUUUCAGACAAUUAUAGGUGUACUUACCAUUUAAACACCUAAAAACCAUUAAGUAUGUUUAACAUGAGCAGGUAAACAAUGAGAUGUCCCUUCCAGAAUAAUAAGCAUACAUUUAGCUUGUAACUCCAUGCUUGCUAGUGCUCUCUAGCUGAGUAAUAGUUCUAGUACAGCUCUACCACAAGAAUAAGCCUUAAGAUCAGAUACAUUUUAUAGUGUGUGGGCCAGGCAGUUACUUUAUGUGUGGGUGGGGCCCGUGCACUGUUAACCAUUGAUUUUUAGAGGGAACUUAAAAGCCUCCAUUGUGGUAGUUUAUAUAUUUUUAUGUACUUGACCUUGUUUGUGUUUGAACAUGUUAGGAAAGUCAUGCCAACCCUCUGAAAGUUUCAAAGUCUUGAUUAAAUUGUGUGUUGCAUCGAAGAAAAGCAAAGAACAAGAUAUCUUAAAAGAUAACAGUAAUUGUAAUAGUGAGAGUGUGCGCCCCUGUGUGUGUGCAUGAGUGUGCAAAUGUACACACAUACUUGUGCUACAGUGUGUGUGUGUAGAAGUCAGAGAACAACCCGUGGGAGUCAGGCAUUGAGUCCAGGACUUUACAAAGUGAACAUAGACUGUACCACUGAGUUACACCAUAGCCUGUGCUGAGUGUUUUAGUGGGUCUUUAAUUACUCAUCAAAACCAACUUCAGGUAGAAUUAUCCCCAUUUUGCAGCUGAAGAGACUGAGGCUUGAGAGGUUAAGUUCCCUAGAGCCAUCCCAUUUCAGUUGGUGGUGGAGGAGCUUGAAUCCUGAUUGGCUAGAUUCUAGAGCCUGCUUGUAUAGCCUUUUAGCUACUGUGACACCCAGACCAGCUUUACUUGUGUGAAAUAAGAAAAGGUUGGAGAAAUGCCUCAGAUGUUAAGGGCACUGGCUGCUCUUCUAGAUGACCUGUGUUGAAUUCCCAGCACCCACAUCACAGCUUACAACUGUUUGAAAUUUCAAUUCCAGGGGCAUCUGACACCUUUACACAAACAUACAAACAGGCAAAACACCAAUCAGUGCUCUAAAAAAUAAGUAAAGUAUUG
rnacentral:lncRNA from 1 species